GCCACCCGGUGCAGCCGGUGGCGCACAGCAGCAACACCAGCUCCUAUGACCCCAGAGAGGGUAGCCAAUAGUCUUCUACCUUAAGCCAUCGAUGGGAGCAGGCACUGGCCAUGGAGAAGGGCAUGACAGCCUAUGUGUGUGAGUCCUUGCAUAUAAAACCAAAGCCACCUCAAGACCCAUCCAGCAGUGCCUCAGUCUCCAUGAGGAAUCUAGGAGGUAGAUACAUACUACAGACCUGGGAGAAGUCUGGCUUGGAAGACCAGCUGAGGACUGGGGUGUGAGCUUUUAAGGCCCUGUCAUACUUCAUUCUUACCCAUGUCUUGCACUUCACAAGGAACAGUUUGAUCUAUUGCUAGAACAGCAUUGUGUCAGCCACUACACCCUCCUAAACUUUGGCUUUGUUGGGAGCCCGGUGGUCAGAGCUGGAAGAGAAUCGGCCAAGGCCAAGAGGUGAGUGUAGAAGCCACAGGGCCCCAGAAUGGAGCCCAAUGGCACGGUUCAUUCCUGCUGCUUGAACUCUACUGCAUUGAAAGUCACCAUCAGUGUGGUCCUCACCACCCUCAUCCUCAUCACCGUCGCUGGCAAUGUGGUUGUCUGCCUGGCUGUCAGCUUGAAUCGCCGGCUCCGCAGUCUGACCAAUUGCUUCAUUGUGUCCCUGGCAGCCACUGACCUGCUUCUUGGCCUCCUGGUGCUGCCCUUCUCUGCCAUUUACCAGCUGUCCUUCAAGUGGAGCUUCGGCCAGGUCUUCUGCAACAUCUACACCAGCCUGGAUGUGAUGCUUUGCACAGCUUCCAUCCUCAACCUCUUCAUGAUCAGCCUGGACCGCUACUGCGCAGUCACGGACCCACUGCGGUACCCCGUGCUGGUCACCCCUGCUCGAGUCGCCAUCUCUCUGAUCUUUAUCUGGGUCAUUUCCAUCACCCUAUCCUUCCUCUCUAUUCACCUAGGGUGGAACAGCAGAAACGGAACCAGAGGGGGCAAUGACACCUCCAAGUGCAAAGUGCAGGUCAACGAGGUAUACGGACUGGUAGAUGGGCUGGUCACUUUCUACCUGCCUCUUCUCAUCAUGUGUGUCACCUACUACAGAAUCUUUAAGAUCGCCAGGGAGCAGGCCAAGAGGAUCAACCACAUCAGCUCCUGGAAGGCAGCCACCAUCAGAGAGCACAAAGCUACCGUGACGCUGGCGGCCGUCAUGGGAGCGUUCAUCAUCUGCUGGUUUCCUUAUUUCACUGCCUUCGUUUACCGUGGCUUGAAAGGGGAUGACGCUGUCAACGAGGUGGUCGAGGGUAUCGUCCUGUGGUUAGGCUAUGCCAAUUCAGCCCUGAACCCCAUCCUGUACGCCGCCCUCAACAGAGACUUCCGCACAGCGUACCAACAGCUCUUCCACUGCAAGCUUUCGAGCCACAGCACCCACAAAACCUCCCUAAGGUUGAACAACUCUCUGCUGUCCAGGAGCCAAAGCCAAGAAGGUAGCCGGCAGGAGGAGAAGUCCCUGAAGCUCCAGGUGUGGAGCGGGAUGGAACUCACACACCCCCAGGGAAGCCCAGUCAGGGAGCAGACAGACCACGAUUUCACAGAUGAAGGAAAACCUUAAGUUUCCAGUGUCAGACAACUCUGUCACUUCCAUCUGUGACCCCAGUAACUCUGGAUGCUGAAGGCAGUCACUACAGGACUCGCCCCACCUCCAGCCUCUGGGGAAAACAGCACUGUUUUGCAUCAUAUGCUCCAAUAACCUCCUAAGCUGCUGCAAGAGCCUGUGGAGGCUUCGUUUCCUCCAGCAACACCCAGAAGGACCAUCAGAGGAGCAACUGGGGGAACCACUGUCUGAGGAGACAGAAAGGACACCAUCCCGGGAAGGAAUGGAGGUGUUGCCCUGUGAGGCUGUCUAGAUCCUGCCCAGUACUCCGAGAUACUGGCCUUAUCACUUGGAUCUCCUUUCUGGAGCCCCUGUAGAUCAAGCCCCACCAAACCACUGAGGACAAACUUCAGCCUGAACCUGGAGGCUCACAGAACACACAGACCAACUUCCCUGGGAGCAGAUUCCAGACAAGUACUUAGGCUUAUUUAGGCUGAAUUUCUUGGGUUCAAAGCUCAUGUUGGUGCUGGCCCUAGGAGCCAUGAGCAGAGAUAGCAGGACAGAGACGUGUACCCAGGUGUACAUGGACAUGGUUUUGUAGGAAACAUGCACUUCUACUGAUCAGGGCAAAGGAUGCUACCGUAAAGCACUGGCCUCGCUUCCUUGUGGGGUCUCAAUAUGAACAAAAAAGAAAAGGAAGGAAUGGAAGAGAAGGAAGAGGAGAGAAAUUGCCCUCUGUGAAUACCUAAGUUCCAGGUACCUUGCCUACACAGGCUCUCACAAUUUAUAUAUAUAUAUAUGCUUAGGAUAAGCAUCACUAUCCAGACUUUACAGAGAUGGAAACUGACAGGGGAAGUAUGGAAUGUACCUCAGGCCACUCAGCCAGAAAAUAUGCCUGGGAUAGAGGUAUUCAGAAAAUACUUGGUGAGUGAAUGGAUGUGUGGGAAGAUGGAUGGGUGGAUGAUGGAUGGAUGAUGGAUGGAUGGAUGGAUGGAUGGAUGGAUGG